rnacentral:lncRNA from 1 species
UUAAUUUUGUUCUGAUUCUUAAAGAUCCUUUAUUUUUAGUGAAUAAAAAGUUAUGUUCACCCUUAUUAUGGGUGAUAUUUGGAAAGUUUGUGCUUGUUUUAUUUCUUUUCUUGCAUUUAUAUGGGAAAUAGCUCAGAGGUCUUUCUGCUAAAAAUGUGCAGUUGAAGGUUUCUGAAUCAGGCCUUCUAUUUUCCUCAACCAGCAUGGCUGCUCAUGUUGUGGAUGAAGUCGUUGAAGUUAUUGAGAUGGACGAAAAGUUUGAGGUGGUUGGAAACUCUUCUGCUAGAGUUGAGAAAGAAGUUGAAUAUGAAGUCUGCGGGUUGCCGUUUCAACUACCACCACCUCCUCCAUUACCUCAAAAUGCUUAUUUGGGUUAGUUUUAAUUUAGAGCUGUGCGAGGUACAUAUGCUAUUUCUGUAAGCAGCUUUGAUCCACACUAUUAUAGCUUCAGCUUUUAAUUAUGAACAUCUUUUCUCCUUGAAAUUCGUAAAUGGUAAUUUGUAUAGAACCAAGUAUAUCUGCUACUGUCUACUGUUAAGGAAUUGCCUUAUGCGAUAUUGUUUCUUUGUUAUCUGAUCUGGUUCAAAUGCUUAUUAUGUUAAUGACUGCAGUAUCAGGGAGAUGGUGAGAAUGUAGACGUGGAUGAUCUCGAACAGGAGACCGUGGAUGUAGAUAUUAUUUGAAAAGGAGACGGGGAUCGAUGUCGAUAUGUUUGGAUGUUUGUAAUAGUUGUAACUUGUAGGAGCAGUAAAUAUAGUUGCAUCCCCUGAUUGUGUUUCAUACCUUUUCCUUCCAAACGGUAUGAACUGUGUUUCUUACCCUGCUUCAUAUAGUAGUUGAGCAAUCAACUUAAUUUUAAGGAUUAUUGGAUUAGAUAGUAUGAAGUUGAAUCACUAUUGUGCUAGUUGCUCAUACACCUUGGCAGCAAAAGUGAUAUAUAUAUAUAUAGGGGACUGAUUAUAGUCAAUGUUGUCAAUUUAAGUUUAUUUUUACAAUACAUUGUGACCGCAGAGCGGUCAUUCGAUGAUUUAAGGUUCGUAGUUUAGUUUUUAAUAUUUUAUAGUCUAAUACUGUAGACGGGACAAAUGUUCAAAAUAUUCUUCAUGUAAAAGUUUCUCGUUCGCAUUAUUAAAUUGUGGUCGCUAAAUAUUUUUUGUAAAUUGGGAAACGACAUUAUUUUUAAAUAUGUAUGGCAGACCAAUUGGUUAAUGACACCUUAUUGGCUAAAUUAAA